UAUCUUCUUAAGAUACUAAGUGUUCAAUCAUAAUCACGCAAUCAGCUAAGAACCAUACAAAUUGAUAGAGAAGGGUACAAUUUGAAUGAAUAUCUGGCGGAACAUAUGUAUAGAACAAAUAUCCUAAAGGAAGUACCACAAACAUUAACUACCACAACUAUGGUAUAUUAUCAAUUGGUCCAAGUUCUCCAUUGCCACCACAUCUCUUUCUUUCUCUCAUCACAACACCAAAAGCAGAAAAAAAAUUAAGCGGACUGAAGUUGUUUUGACUGCCUAGAUAACAAAAUAUUGGAGGAUAUCGCACCAACUUAUUGUAGUACCAAAUACAUGCUGCCUAGAUAAAAUAGAUUGGGGCAUUUACUGACAGAGAAUAUACAACAAAAAAUGGUUGAAGAAAACAGAACAAGGAUAGAACAGUACACAGACUGUACUUAGUAGAAACACACACACACACACACGGAGAGGGAGAGAGAGAGUACACUUGAACUGUUGCUUUUUGAAGUUGACGCCCAAGUUGUCAUUGUCGCUGCAGCUCAAGCUCAAGCUCCACGCCUUCCUGGUCUGGUUGUUCGUUGACUUCCUGAUGCAUGUCGGAGUGGUGCUGAUCAGAUUCUCAAGCAAUGUGAAGAGCGUCGAGCCCGUAAUCACAUAAUUAAGUUAUGCACAUUUCAACUUACCGGACAACAUAAAGGAUUAAUAUCAACACUUUAGCAGAUACAUUUAAAACUUAGAUGCUCUGAAUUUCUUCAUUUGCAAGAAAAAUGAUAUUGCAAGGUAGAUCAUUUUCUUGUACAAUCAAAUCUCCAAAAGCACCUAAAUUUCAGUGUACAACCAGAAUAAGAAUACCUAUAACAAUAUAGGCCUGGAAACUCUUAGUGCAAAGAUUAAAACAACAUAAUUUCCUAAACUUCCAAGUUUUGCAGUUUAUUUUUAAAUCGAUUAUUUUGUAUCCGAUUAUUUUCUGAAUUAAUAUAGAGUUGGAAUAGUUUACAUUGAUGAUUGGCAGUAGUACUUAGUGUCCAUCAAUAUUGCAGGUGUACUGAAGGAUAUUGAUCAAGAGCUAGCUAAACAAUUUCAUAUAUGGAGUGAAAAUCAAGAAGUACUGGCAUUAAGAUAAUCAGUCAAAGCACAUACCAAAACAAAAUUUGAAGCAACCAGUCUUCGUAGCAGCCAAUUUGUUAAAAAGCUACAAGGCAAUAUAAUUUGUUAACUACAUAAGAAAGGACCAUUAGAUUAGACAUUAGAAGAUGAUUCUGAAAACAAAUUGGAGCCAAAACUGAACCUUGCUGAACCCUCCACUACCUCGCAUCGGCAC
rnacentral:lncRNA from 1 species